rnacentral:piRNA from 1 species
GGGGAUGGGAGAGCAGGCAGAAAGCAG